GAGACCGGCUCAAAAAGCGUCCGUUAUGGAUGCCUGCCCUAGUAGGGAUAGAGCCGGUUUCGCCU
rnacentral:ncRNA from 12 species